rnacentral:lncRNA from 1 species
CCCGUAUCAAGAAAGAAAGAGAAAAGAAAAAGAACCAAAGAAAAAGAAAAGUCACCAUCGCACGGUUAAGUCUGCCUUGCUACAGCUAAACAGUGACUUCCUAGGACCAAGAAAUCGCAGCCAGGGCUAGACCGAUGCCCUAAAUCGGGACUUGCUUAGGCUGAGAAAUCACAUUUUGGCUAGUUAUUUGGACAAGAGGUAGAAAUAGCGGGCACCGCGAAAUCGAAACUUGCUAGGACCAAGAAGCCAACGACGGGCGAAACCGCAGGGGCCUGCGAUAGAGACGCCAGCGGCGCCGCCGGGGGACUGGGUUCAGGAGGCCGAGCAGGAACCCGUGCGUCGGCGCUCGCGGCGCUGUGAAGAGACGGCGUCCGCGCAGCUCCUCUGCCUCUGGCUCGGAGGAGCGGCGGGCUCCCCCGCCCAGCGCCGGCGUCGCCCGGGAACCCCAGACUCUGCGCAACUGGCUGCGAUUCCAAAUCCCUCAGAUCGGCUACCAGAGCGCUGCCGCCACCGAGAAAAUGGAGGCACCGAGGAACAAGAUGUGCCGCGACCAAGAGAACUCGGCUUGGCGAAAUGGCGGUGCUGGGACCCUAAGAGUGACGCCAGCCGGAGGAGUUCCCAAGGACAACAUCCAUUUUGGCGGAACCAACGGUGUUGUCACGCAGAAAAUGUCGACCCUCGGAAAAGAGAGGUUCUGCGACCGAGAAAUUCGGUGCAACAAGUGCUGUGACAGAAAACCCCCCGCUCGGCGCUGCUGGCGAAAGAGCCAACAAAACGCUGGGUGCUGCCACCGUGACACCGACUUUAGGACCCCGGCCUCGGAUGGAGAAAGGAGGGUACGGAGCCACCACAUAACUUCCUAAUGUCUUCAAAUAGCGAAAGUGCUAGCCGGAAACUGCCGGCUGGGUUUACCUAUUGGUGCUCGUGUGGGACUAGCAGAUUCGAGAAACCAGCGGGACUGGAACCUAGUACACUUCGGCAGUUGAGAAAUGACUUACCAGGACAAAUACUGCUUCUGGCUCGAUGGUGCUGCCCAUGAACAUCCGCCGGCUCUGAGAAACGAGCUGCACUGUCAGUGAGAAACCGUGGGCACUGAGAAACGAGCGGACUGCAACUGAUAACUGCCCACCCAGUGCCACUACGACAAAGUGCUGCUGGCACUACUCCCACCCUCCGUCCUCAAAUCAGUCCCCUCCCGCCUAAGAAGACCUUUAUUUUUCCUAGCGAAGUCAUACUGAGGGCCCCAUCAACCGAUCCCUUGCGAUGCGCAUGGGAAAAGGAGGCAGUAUAGGGACCGAGAAUCGGGCGGAUUGGGCUGGCCCUGGUAACAAAAGCCAUCCGGGUCGCCAACCGUCUUCCACUGCAAGAAACAAACCUUCCAGUGGCUGGGCUCCGCCCUUCUCCUUGGUCAGAGCCCUCCAGGCUCCUAAGGGCGAAGCCGACACCUCAUCCCUUUGGAACUUGAAGUUCUCAGUCCAAGACCUCCGUGGAGAGUGAAAGACUCAAUGCCUCCUGACCGAGGCUUCAGGCCUGCCCCGGCAGCUAGGAAACCUGAAACUGCCAUUGAGCAGAAGGAAAACAUCCCUUUCCAGAACCUUUCUCGUUUUUCUAAAAAUCUGCACUUUUGGAAGUGAUCCCCCAAAGAGACCUCCAGACUCUACCAUGAGUGUCUCCAGCUGAACUCAUCGUGUCUAAUCCUCACCCUAGCUUAUCCUGUUCAAAUCAUUUCCAUCUUUUUCUGGAUGAACCUGGGCGGAUGUCAGACCAGAGAAGAGCACAGAAUGUACCAGAGAGCAGCUAAUCAAGCGCUGGCCUCAAGAUAAUCACUAUUAAAACCAUUACAGUUCAUCCAUCGCCAGACAGUGACUAACUGAGGCCCUUGUUCCACAAGCUAUAAAUGCAGCUUUGAUUGGACAAGAGACUGAUUUCAGUAACUUUCUCCUAAUAAGAAGACCACCAGCAUGCACUGUUCACAGAGGCUGUGCACUUGAGUGCCUUCGUGUCCCUGUUUCACCUUUUGACAUAUAUGGCCUAACUGUAAUACAUUUGAAUGUUGUCUCCACCCCAGAAUGAAUAUGGGCUGUAUGUAACAGGCAUAUUUAUUCAGUACACAUGCAUUAGGAACACAUUCAUGAAUAUUUAUAUGCCUCCUGUAACCUGUUGAAUACGUAUACUUGGUCAACCCAUUCAAC